GAUGAACGCUAGCGGCAGGCUUAACACAGGCAAGUCGAGGGGUAGAAGGAGCUUGCUCCUUUGAGACCGGCGCACGGGUGCGUAACGCGUAUGCAAUCUACCUUUUGCAGAGGGAUAGCCCAGAGAAAUUUGGAUUAAUACCUCAUAGUAUGUGAGGAUGGCAUCAUUUUCACAUUAAAGUCACAACGGCAAAAGAUGAGCAUGCGUCCCAUUAGCUAGUUGGUAAGGUAACGGCUUACCAAGGCUACGAUGGGUAGGGGUCCUGAGAGGGAGAUCCCCCACACUGGUACUGAGACACGGACCAGACUCCUACGGGAGGCAGCAGUGAGGAAUAUUGGACAAUGGGCGCAAGCCUGAUCCAGCCAUGCCGCGUGCAGGAUGACGGUCCUAUGGAUUGUAAACUGCUUUUGUACAGGAAGAAACACUACUUCGUGAAGUAGCUUGACGGUACUGUAAGAAUAAGGAUCGGCUAACUACGU
rnacentral:rRNA from 1 species